rnacentral:rRNA from 1 species
GGCGAACGGGUGAGUAACACGUGGGUGAUCUGCCCUGCACUUCGGGAUAAGCCUGGGAAACUGGGUCUAAUACCGGAUAGGACGAUGGUUUGGAUGCCAUUGUGGAAAGUUUUCGGUGUGGGAUGAGCUCGCGGCCUAUCAGCUUGUUGGUGGAGUAAUGGCCUACCAAGGCGACGACGGGUAGCCGGCCUGAGAGGGUGGACGGCCACAUUGGGACUGAGAUACGGCCCAG